UACGUAGGGUGCAAGCGUUGUCCGGAAUUAUUGGGCGUAAAGAGCUCGUAGGCGGUCUGUCACGUCGGCUGUGAAAACCCGGGGCUCAACCCCGGGCCUGCAGUCGAUACGGGCAGACUAGAGUGCGGUAGGGGAGACUGGAAUUCCUGGUGUAGCGGUGAAAUGCGCAGAUAUCAGGAGGAACACCGGUGGCGAAGGCGGGUCUCUGGCCGUAACUGACGCUGAGGAGCGAAAGCGUGGGGAGCGAACAGG
rnacentral:rRNA from 1 species